rnacentral:rRNA from 1 species
UAGGAAAGUCGUAACAAGGUAACCGUAAGUCGUAACAAGGUAACCGUAAGUCGUGACAAGGUAACCGUAGAGUUUGAUCCUGGCUCAGGAUUCACGUUGGCGGUACGCCUAAUACUUGCAGGUAACCGCAAGGCAACCAAGGUUCCCAUAAAGUUAGAUAAUGGCUCAACCUUUGACUUAAAAAAAUGGAUAAUUCGUAACAAGAUUGACGUAAAAAUUGAUCAGGUCUCAAGAAAGUCACAACAAGGUAACCGUAGAAUUUGAUCAUGGCUCAAGGAAACCGUAAAGUGGUAUCCUGAGAGUUGGAUCCUGGAUCAAGGUUUGACUUAAAAAAAAUCAUAAGUCAUAACAAGGUAACCGAAGAAUUUGAUCAUGUUUAUCGUGAGUCAUAACUUGGUAGCCAAAAAGUUUGAUCCUGUAACAAGGUAACCGUAACAUUGGAUCAUGGAUUCGGAACGUCGUAACCAUGUAUCCAAUCAGAAUGAUUCUAGAUCAUUCAAGAGCCUACACUAUAUCUA